rnacentral:rRNA from 1 species
UACGUAGGGGGCAAGCGUUGUCCGGAUUCAUUGGGCGUAAAGCGCGUGUAGGCGGUCAGGUAGGUCCGAUGUGAAAACUGGAGGCUCAACCUCCAGCUGUCAUCGGAAACCCCCUGGCUAGAGUCCGGGAGAGGAGAGUGGAAUUCCUGGUGUAGCGGUGAAAUGCGCAGAUAUCAGGAGGAACACCAAUGGCGAAGGCAGCUCUCUGGAACGGUACUGACGCUGAGACGCGAAAGCGUGGGGAGCGAACAGG